rnacentral:rRNA from 1 species
UACGUAGGGGGCGAGCGUUGUCCGGAUUUAUUGGGCGUAAAGAGCGUGUAGGCGGCCAGGUAGGUCUGCUGUGAAAACUCGAGGCUCAACCUCGAGACGUCGGCGGAAACCAUCUGGCUAGAGUCCGGAAGAGGAGAGUGGAAUUCCUGGUGUAGCGGUGAAAUGCGCAGAUAUCAGGAGGAACACCGGUGGCGAAGGCGGGUCUCUGGGAAGUAACUGACGCUGAGAAGCGAAAGCAUGGGUAGCAAACAGG